rnacentral:rRNA from 1 species
UACAGGUGGGAUAGCGUAAAGAAAUAAUGAAUAGGCAUUAAGUGUGAUUAGGUGGCCAAAGAGCUAGAGUAAGGAGAGGAGAGUAAGAGGAAUAACCAAUGGAAGGAUGAAAUCUUUAGAUAUUGGUUGGAACAUCAAUAGCUACCGACAUCACUCUAUUUCCUUACUGACACUGAUUCACUAAAGUGUGGGUAGCAAACCGG